AGUGAACGCUGGCGGUAGGCCUAACACAUGCAAGUCGAACGGCAGCACCGUAAGAGCUUGCUCUUACGGGUGGCGAGUGGCGGACGGGUGAGGAAUACAUCGGAAUCUACUUUUUCGUGGGGGAUAACGUAGGGAAACUUACGCUAAUACCGCAUACGACCUACGGGUGAAAGCAGGGGAUCUUCGGACCUUGCGCGAUUGAAUGAGCCGAUGUCGGAUUAGCUAGUUGGCGGGGUAAAGGCCCACCAAGGCGACGAUCCGUAGCUGGUCUGAGAGGAUGAUCAGCCACACUGGAACGGAGACACGGUCCAGACUCCUACGGGAGGCAGCAGUGGGGAAUAUUGGACAAUGGGCGCAAGCCUGAUCCAGCCAUACCGCGUGGGUGAAGAAGGCCUUCGGGUUGUAAAGCCCUUUUGUUGGGAAAGAAAAGCAGCAGGUUAAUACCCCGCUGUUCUGACGGUACCCAAAGAAUAAGCACCGGCUAACUUCGUG
rnacentral:rRNA from 1 species